CUGAUGAUGAACUUGGUGAACUUAUUCGCCAAGGUUUACUUACUUACUUACUUACUUACUUACUUACUUGUAUCCCAAGAGAGUCUUCUUACCGGGAAAUAUAAACGUGCGGCAAGACAGGAAUGGUGUACUUGUGGAAACUGCGUCGUGGAAGAGAUGUGGGGAAAUCGUUCCUGUUGUCAAGAAGCGUUACAGGUAUACAGCCUAUCAGCAAAUUGUACGUUGGUGCUGGGGUUAUCUUGGCAAAGACAGGCGAGUGCUGAUGUCGUGUAAUGAAGUCCAUACAUGAG